rfam:Schistosoma haematobium scaffold296_29, whole genome shotgun sequence.
AUCCAGACGACGAGUCCAAAAUAAGACGAAACACAUGUCCUGAAU